GAUGAACGCUGACCGAAUGCUUAACACAUGCAAGUCAACUUGAACUUCGGUUUGGGUGGCGGACGGGUGAGUAACGCGUAAAGAACUUGCCUCACAGAUAGGGACAACAUUUGGAAACGAAUGCUAAUACCUGAUAUUAUGAUUAUAUGGCAUCGUAUAAUUAUGAAAGCUAUAUGCGCUGUGAGAGAGCUUUGCGUCCCAUUAGCUAGUUGGAGAGGUAACGGCUCACCAAGGCGAUGAUGGGUAGCCGGCCUGAGAGGGUGAUCGGCCACAAGGGGACUGAGACACGGCCCUUACUCCUACGGGAGGCAGCAGUGGGGAAUAUUGGACAAUGGACCAAGAGUCUGAUCCAGCAAUUCUGUGUGCACGAUGAAGUUUUUCGGAAUGUAAAGUGCUUUCAGUUGGGAAGAAAAAAAUGACGGUACCAACAGAAGAAGUGACGGCUAAAUACGUG
rnacentral:rRNA from 1 species